UGAUUAAAAAUGAUCUAAUGGACCAAAAUGCUUCUACUUCUAGCUUUCUCUACGCUCUUCUCUCUUUACGAAAAUAAAAUCUAGAAACAGAUCGUCUCUGUCGAUGGCGAAGCCUCCACGUCUCCGCAUCUCCUCGUCUCCGUCACACCUCGUUCUCUCUCUAGUCUAUUGUUGCAAGGCGGAGCAGCGUCGAAGGCGGCGGCGGCUCAGAUCCCGAGCUUCUUUAUAUGGCGUCCAUUGCUUCUAAGUUGUAUAGAUGAUGUUAGUCUUCUAGUGUUGUUGCUUGGUACGAAUCCCUUAUCUAGGACACUACAUCAACUAUGUUCUCUCAGUUCCUCUCUCAUAUAAUGACUGAGAACCAGAAGAAUACCACAGUGACCGAUCAGAACACUAUUUCUCUGUCUCUGUCUGAUGAAUCUAAAAGUACUGCUCUCAGUGAUUCAGUUGAUAACUCACCCCAGCUCAUCUCAAUGGUCUUAGCCAAGCGGGAUCCGAUGGUAUCAAGGCUGAGUCUUUUCUGCUGAGAGACAGAAUAUGUUGGAAGACAUGGUUGGCUAGGACAUGUUUUGUAUUAAAACAGAUAUAACUAUGCACGCAGGCUGCCGAGGUGGACUUGGGACAAGUAGGUGUCUGAGAAGAUGUUGGGAGUGGUCGCGUGGACUGGUAGUGGGUUCAAACAAUAACAAGAAGAAAGAAGGAUCCAGAAUUAAUCAAGAACAUCUUUUGUUCGUCUUUAAGUUUCAUUUUUGAAUUAGGGAGAUUGAUGCUUUUGAUUCUUGAAGAGAUGGUUAUGAUAAUGUAUGGGAAUGUUAUAUGAUAAAAAAAAAAUCUAAUACUAAUAAAAAAAUUAGAAAAAAAUAAAAAUAAUAUUUUUACUUCGAAUUCUAAACUCUAAACAUGCCUCAUCCAACACUUAUAAAAAUUUCAAAAUGAACAUUGGUAGAAUUAAUAACUAGAGCAAAAGUAAAGUAUAUUACUCUAAUCUCUAUGACGAUAUAUAGAGCAAAUGAAAUCUUCAUCGAAAUCUAAAAAUCACAAAUGUAAAAUUGAAAAGGGAAAUCUCUUCUUUUUUUGUGAGCACCGAAUUUUUUAAUUGAAAACUUAGAAUAUAAAACAUAAUCUAAAAACUAAAAAAAAGAAGUAAAAAUUAUUUAUUGGUUCAACCGGUGGUUCAACCUGUAUCGGGUUCCGGGUUUUAGUGGAUUUUUGCGGGUUUUUAAAUAUUGGGUUUUCCACACCGGAUUUUUUCUGGGUCACCGGGUUUACCAGUUCAACUGCGGAUCCGGGUCGAGUUUCAAAACACUGGUUUCAACCCUAACCCCUAAACAUAAAUUUUAAAACUUCAAAUUUUUUUCACAAUAUAACUUUAAUCUUAAAUUUAAAUUCAAAAUUUAAUCAUUUUAAAAAUACAAUCUAAACUUUAAAUUAUAAACCUCAAACGGUAAAUCAUAAAUUUACAACCUAAAUCUAAUCCAUAAACUCCAAAUUUAAACCUUGCAUACAAAAAUUUAAAACUCUAAUGCUUUAUUAUUUAAUUUAAAAUCUAAUAUUAAAUCUUAAAUCUAUACACAAAACAAUAGAUUCCAAACCCUAAAUUUAAUCUUUUCACAAUUCACUCUCAAAUCUUAAACUUCAAACUUCAAACUUAAACUUUAUACUUCAAAUCAUACCUAAACUCUAAAGCUUAUAUCUAAUCUAAAACUAUAUACUUAAUUUAAAUGUUCAAAACUAUAAUUCUAUACCCCAAACUUUAUUUCGUUAACCAUAAUUCUAAUUCAUAUACUCUAAACACUAAUAACAAAGUUUAAAAUUUUAAAAUUUAAAUUCAAAUCUAAAAUUAAUUAUUUCAAAUUUGAAAUCUAAAUCUUUAAAUUUUGUCUCAAAAUAAUUUAUGUACAUUACAAUUUUACCACUAAUACUUUAGGUAUUGAAACAAAAAUAGAAUAAGAAAGUAGUUACAAAAAUUUGAUUGGUCAAAACACGUACAAGGGUAGAGAUCAGACCUUUUAAACCACAACCGUUGAUUAACGUAAAUCUAAUGGACAAGAUCUUGUCUCUCUAAUCUCUUCUCUUGUGUUUCUUCCCGUCCCUUUCUCUUCUAUUUUGUUUCCACUUUUUUUUUCUUCGUUAAUCAUGCUCCCUAAUCUCACAAAUCUUGUCUCUCUAAUAUCUUUUUUCAUCACCACUAAACCUUUGUUACCACCAGGUCUCGUCAACCUCUCCACCACAUCUCGUCGUCGUUGCGGCCAUAGCUUCGUCACCACCAUAGCUUGUCCAUCGAGGCGAGGAUGAAAAAUCGUUUGACCUCCUCACCACUACGACACAUCUAAGAAGGAACCGGGAAGGAGAAGAAGUGGUGUUACAGAGUGGUGUCUCCGGCUUCGUCUCUCUCUCUCUCUCUCUCUCUCUCUCUGUGUUCUGAUUCCGGUUUUGUUUUUCUGUUCUUAGUAGAAAAGGCGGAGGAGGCUGAAGAAGCUUGAUGGUUGUGGUCUCGGCGUCAACAGUGGUGGUCUUGACUUCGUCAAUGGUAGCUUAGCGCGGUGGUGGAGGCUGAGUAAGCUUACCUGUGGUGUUAUUGGCUGGUGGUGGAGGCUGAAUAAGCUUACCUGUGGUGUUCUUGGCUGGUGGUCUCGGCCUCAAAGAUGAAGAAAACGAAGGAGCUGAAGUUGACGGCGAAGGAGAUAAAGUUACGGCAAAAAGUUUAGAUGUAGGGUUAAUUUUUUUUUUAGGUUAAACUUUUUAGAUUUACAUUUCCAAACCGGGUCUUGUAAACCGGAAUUUAUUUGUAAACCAGAAUUUAUUAUAAUUAGUGGUUUUAAUUUUUAAUUAA